rnacentral:rRNA from 2 species
CGGUAUACGAGGGGUGCAAGCGUUAAUCGGAAUUACUGGGCGUAAAGCGUUCGUAGGCGGUCUAUUAAGCAAGAUGUGAAAGCCCAGGGCUCAACCUUGGAACUGCAUUUUGAACUGGUAGACUAGAGUACUGUAGAGGGUGGUGGAAUUUCCAGUGUAGCGGUGAAAUGCGUAGAGAUUGGAAGGAACAUCAGUGGCGAAGGCGGCCACCUGGACAGAUACUGACGCUGAGGAACGAAAGCGUGGGGAGCGAACAGGAUUAGAUACCCUGGUAGUCCACGCCGUAAACGAUGUCAACUAGCCGUUUGUGGUCUUGAACCGUGAGUGGCGCAGCUAACGCACUAAGUUG